rnacentral:lncRNA from 1 species
CUUUGCCUUUCUUUAAUUGUGUCACCUUCUUUGUUAGAGAAACCCAAAUCUUCUGUUUCUUGAAGAAGCUGCUUUUUUUAAAAAUGUAUCUUUUAGAUACCUAUUGUGGAAAUAAAACAACUUGUGGUUUUUUUUUUAAGAGAAAUGAUGGUUUCUUAUAUGGAGAGAGGCUAGUAGCGAGGCAAAUAUUUAUGCAAAGAUGUUUGCUCCAAGAACCUAAACUGAAAAUAAAAUUAGACUGAAUUUUUAGUUAAAGCUGCACCUGGAUUGCAUGCAUAUUUGAAAACAUUAUAUAAGGUUUAACAAAUGUAUGAUUAGAGCAUUGACCAGUGUUAUUCUGUUAAGUAGUUUUGCAGGAUUUUCUCUUGCAAGAAGAAUUUGUUGUACUCGCAUUAUUGUUUCCUUUGGGAUCGUAGACAAUGACUCUGUAGUGUGAUUCAUUAAUAUUGGUUGUCUUCAGCAGAGAGUAUCCAGAUUUGACCUGCCAAGUAUUAAAUUUUUAAUGUAUUACUAGUUCUUUCACAGAGUAAGGCUUGUCUUUGUUCUUUGUAUUUUUGUACCAGUAUAGCUUGAAUCAGAUACAGAUUUAAUUUGUAGUAUCACUAAAUAUGCCUCAUUUAAAACACGCACAAUACACAUAUAAAAAUGUUUAUUGAUGAAAAUAUUUCAAUAUGAAUAGCUACCUUUUUAAAUAUUUGAAAGUAUGCACUUCCAAAUUUAUUUUGAAAAGUGCCAGGGGGUGCUGUGUGCUAUGUGCAAUAAGUUAAUUAUUAUGCUAUUAACAUUGAUGAUGGUGAAUGUAUAUUAGUUAAUGUGUUAACGACGUGUUAAUUACUGUACAUGUUGUGAAGACCCUUCAGGCUUGUUCUAUGAUGCAGCAUGUCAACUUGAACUAGACCAAGUAAUCUGCAAAGCAGACUGUAACUCUUAAAAAUAACACUUGUAAACAUAAAUUAUAAAUUAAAUUAUGCUUUUUAUUAUUCUUUUUCUUUCUGGUAGAAUGAAUAAGUAAUUCUUCUGCUAUCUGCACCUGUUAGAACCCAAUACUGUCAGACUCUGUUUUCCCCAAGAGGAUUGAAAGAGAUUUGUUAUGCAAUAACUUCCGCUUUGUUUACGCUCUGGCAUUUAGUGUAUAUUUUAUAUAGAUUCAUUUGUUUUGCAGCCUGAAAGAUCUUUCUUUUUUUGUUUACCAGCUUGAUUUGAAAUGAAAGACACUCACACUUAGUCUUUGUGUAAGCAGGUGAAAAGUGGCCUUGUUUGAUUAGGACUACUAGUUGAUACUAAACUAAUCUGUAUAUACACAUGUGAUUCAGUUAUAGCUCUUCAAGUUUAGUUGGCCAAAUAGUUGAAAUCUCAAGGGACCAGACAUAAAAACAAAAAACUCAAUGACAGUUUCAAAUCAUUUACAACAGAGGCCAGAAUUUGUUGCUGUUUGUGAGAACAUGGCAUUAUAUAUUUGUUGUCCUUUUCAUCAGUAUAUCUUGAUGCCUUGAAAAUGUCAAAUAUUUGAAUUUUAUUACUUUAACUUUUGAAUUAGUGGUUGCCCAUUUCUUUCUAAUUGUCAGUAUUUUUGAAAAAUACACCUGAUGAUAAUCCUCAAGAGACUAAUUUGGAGAAAUACAAAAUUAUAGAAUUCGAUGUUAUUCAUACAAUGGUAUUUCUUAUUUUUAUGUCUUCAAAAUCUUUGUUUCAUAUUAAACAAAAGAAGUAAGUUAACAAAUGAGAGUUCCCAAAUUUACUGAGGGUCUUGUGAGGAUGUUUUUUAAAUGACCCAAAACCAACUCUUGAAAAUACAAAAAUAAAAUAGAAAUGAGUGUUUCUGUAAGGCAUUUACUCUGUCUUUUAGAUUCUUCUAACAUAAUAUGUAUAAGAGGUGGUAAAGAGUUAGUUCAGACUGUAAAGCCAGACUGUCCUGCAUCCAGUUCUAGCUUUUUCACCUUCCAGCUGUGUGACUAUGAGCAAUGGAUCUAACUGUGGUGUGCCUCAGUUUCAUGAUAAUUAAAAUGGGCUUAAUAAUAGUACCUGCCUUACUUAGGGGUGAUUAGUUAAUACAGGUAAAGUACUUUGAGUAGUGCCUAGCACACAGAAAGCUCUCAAAAAAUGUGAGGUCUUAUUAUUAACCUGCCUUUGAUAUUAUACUAAAAAUUAUUUGGAAGCAUUUAAUUUUCACAAACUCUUUGAUUUCCCUAGGACCCAUUUUGAAUGUGAGUUUUUGGUUUCCAGUCAUUAUAGUCUCGUACUUCAUCAUAGAAAAACACCUUAUUUUUAAUGAUGGUUUUAUUACUCCAGUGUUGUUUACAUCCACCUGGAGUCAUCCCAGAUUUUUCCAUUCGUCUAACCUUGCUUGAUUUCCUAUAGCACAGCUCUUGUUGAAGAUUUAUAUUGGUGUGGAAGGAUAUUCUGACCAGGAUUUUGGUUUCUCUUGCAAAUAUUUGUGUAUCUCUUGUUUACAGCCCCAGUGUCCUCUUGUAAAACCCAUGCAAAAUGGGAUUCUAAUAAAUCUUGUGCUCAGCAUUA